GAUGAACGCUAGCGGGAGGCCUAACACAUGCAAGCCGAGCGGUAUUGUUUCUUCGGCAAUGAGAGAGCGGCGUACGGGUGCGUAACACGUGUGCAACCUGCCUUUAUCUGGGGGAUAGCCUUUCGAAAGGAAGAUUAAUACUCCAUAAUAUAUUGAACGGCAUCGUUUAAUAUUGAAAGCUCCGGCGGAUAGAGAUGGGCACGCGCAAGAUUAGCUAGUUGGUGAGGUAACGGCUCACCAAGGCGAUGAUCUUUAGGGGGCCUGAGAGGGUGAUCCCCCACACUGGUACUGAGACACGGACCAGACUCCUACGGGAGGCAGCAGUGAGGAAUAUUGGUCAAUGGGUGCAGGCCUGAACCAGCCAUCCCGCGUGAAGGACGACUGCCCUAUGGGUUGUAAACUUCUUUUGUAUAGGGAUAAACCUACCCUCGAGAGGGUAGCUGAAGGUACUAUACGAAUAAGCACCGGCUAACUCCGUG
rnacentral:rRNA from 1 species